rnacentral:rRNA from 1 species
UACGAAGGGGGCUAGCGUUGUUCGGAUUUACUGGGCGUAAAGCGCACGUAGGCGGAUCGAUCAGUCAGGGGUGAAAUCCCAGGGCUCAACCCUGGAACUGCCUUUGAUACUGUCGAGCUGGAGUAUGGAAGAGGUGAGUGGAAUUCCGAGUGUAGAGGUGAAAUUCGUAGAUAUUCGGAGGAACACCAGUGGCGAAGGCGGCUCACUGGUCCAUUACUGACGCUGAGGUGCGAAAGCGUGGGGAGCAAACAGG